rnacentral:lncRNA from 1 species
GCUCUUGAGGGAGUCUCUAACUGUUUUAUUUGUACAAAAUUUAUUUUUCAAGGACUAAUCGAUCAUACUUCAGAAUGUUUAGGCACUGACAGUGAUAUAACUUAGUGAUAGGCUCACAUUGCUUUAAUGUACUUGAGAUUUGUUCAAUUUUUCUCUGAAGAAUGACAUGCAGUUUUAACACACUAAACUUUCAUGAUCCAGAAGUUUUCAGUUAGAAUAAAAUACUGCAUAGAAUUGGAUAUAAAAUGGUUUUAAGUGAAAAAUCCUUCUGUAAUGUGUACAAAAUCACUGCAUACAUGGGAUACUAUAUUAAAAAAUUGAAGUGUACUUGUCAGAGGACCUGUAGAGAUCUGCAUUCUGCUGUGAUCUGAAUCAGUAAAUUAUAGUCUCUGAAUCAUAAUACACCUGACCUUAAAUUUCAGGAGGAUUAUGUGUUUGCUUGGAUUUGCGUUCAUGCUAUACUCACACAGUUACCUUUUCUGUUUUUACUCAAGACUCAGUCCACUGCUUCUGACAAUUUGUCCUAUAGACCAGCAGGUUGUGCACAAGAUUUAGAAAUGCUACAAGUUGACAAAAUGCCUUGUGGAAGCAAUACUCGCUUGAAUAAAGAAGCAUUGUCCCUUUCUCAUAAGACAAUCCCUUGCUUGAGGUAAAAAUCCUCUGGUUUUCUUUGACUUCUCUGAAAAGUUUGUUGUCUUUCACUUUUGUUCUUGAACUUUCUGUGUGUUGCAUGACAUUUAUAUCUGUCCACCUACCUUUUUCCACGGUAUUCUGGAACUCCUUCAAGCUGCAAUGCUACAAGGAGGUCUCCAGCUACUUUAUUUCCAACAAAGUUUAAACUUUUUGUUUAAAUCCAGGUUAAUGGUCUGUGGUAGGUGAAAGUGUGGAACUUGAAAAGAAGAGGUUGGGACCAGGGAAACUUGUCAGAAGCUUCUAAAUAGUCUGAGAGGAAAAAAUAAGUUGCUGCUAAGUGCAUGAUGUUGAGCAUAAAAUAGUUCGUGAUUUAAUAAGAGGGGUGAUCUUGACUUUGCAUUUGUUUCUGCUUAU